rnacentral:rRNA from 1 species
AGAGAUGUGUGAUGACGCAUAUCAAUAAGCGGAGGAAAAGAAACUAACAAGGAUUCCCCUUAGUAACGGCGAGUGAAGCGGGAAGAGCUCAAAUUUGAAAUCUUCAAGGUACUACCUUGACGAAUUGUAGUUUAUAAGAAGUGUUUUCUGUUAGUGGAGGUGGCUAAAAGUUCUUUGGAAUAGGACAUCAUAGAGGGUGAGAAUCCCGUAUUUGGUCAUUCCUCCUAGCGUUGUGAUACACUUUCAACGAGUCGGAUUGUUUGGGAAUGCAGUCCAAAAUGGGUGGUAAAUUUCAUCUAAAGCUAAAUAUUGGCGAGAGACCGAUAGCGAACAAGUACCGUGAGGGAAAGAUGAAAAGAACUUUGAAAAGAGAGUUAAACAGUACGUGAAAUUGUCAAAAGGGAAGCGUUUGACACCAGUGUUGUUUUUCCGAAAAUCAAUUACGAAUGUUUUGUUUUUGAGGAGUUAUGACUUCAUCGGCUUGCUCCUUUCUUUAUGAAACUUUCUUAAUGCACUUUUCGGUUAACAAGUCAACAUCAAUUUCUUUUGUUGUAAAAGGGUAUGAGGAAGGUGGCUUUCUUUUCGGAGAAAGUGUUUAUAGCCUUGUGCCUCUGCAAUCGGAGAGAUUGAGGUCUGCAGCGUAGAUCCUUCGGGGUUAGAUACACUUUGUGCUAAGUUAUAGCUUUUCAUAGACAACUUGUUGACUAUGUUUAGUCUCGUAGACUUACUCGCUUAUGCUAUUUUACCUACGCUUAGGAUGUUGAACUCUAUCACACACAG